CGCAGCGCCAGCAAAGCGUUCCCCCUCUUCUUCCCUAAACCAAAUCCAUCCAAUCUCUCGACGAGCCGCCCCCACCCGCCGCCUCGGGCGGAGUUUCUUCCCGGGCAUGCGUCACUGUCGUGUCGCUGUCUUGCUCGGCCUCCUGACUUCGCCGGCGUUGGAGAAGUUAUCCGCCCCCGCUAGCCCAGUCCCCCUCACCAGUUGCUAGGGACCAGAAUUGGUAUAUACGAGCACUUCUGUGAAGAUGAUAUCAUCCUGCCCCAUCUGCAAUAUACAAGUUCUUACAGUUGAGCUGGAACAGCAUGCCAAUAGCCACUUUGAGGAUGAUGAUCAACUUCAAAGGGACAUGGAAUUGGCACAUCAGAUGGCACUUGCUGAAUCAAAUACAGAUAUCAUGAAUGGUCCUGAGCAUUGCACAGGAUCAUUCACCAGUGACUCUAAUGCUCAAGGGGCCUCAUCAAGUCAUAGUGAAUACUGGCAUCAUUAUGGCAAGGUACUGGAUGAACAGAUUUCUUGCUUGGUCAGAGCACAAAUUCCAAGUAAAGUUCAAGAAGUGGAAGGUGGAAUUAUGAACUUGUUGAUGAGCAGCUUGGAGUCAGAAGGUGGUUCUUCAACAAGUAUGAUAUCGGGCUAUAUUGACCAUCAUCAGAGUCUUUCAUCAGAAGAUAAGGGAUGGGGUUGUGGAUGGAGAAAUAUUCAGAUGAUGAGCUCUCAUCUGUUGAAGCAAAGACCAGAAGCUAGAGAAGUUUUAUUUGGUGGUUCUGGAUUUGUUCCUGACAUCCCAUCUCUCCAGAGGUGGCUUGAGAUUGCUUGGGACAAAAAUUUUGAUACCAUUGGCUCGAACCACUUCCAUAACAAAGUAUAUGGUGCCAAGAAAUGGAUAGGGACUACAGAAUGUGCUACCCUCUUCCGCUCUUUUGGCCUCCGUUCAAGGAUUGUAGAUUUUGAUAGCACCGAAUCAUCCGGCCUCCAAAACAAGAAUGGAAAACAUUCAGCAAAUCAAGUACGAGGGCCUAUGGACAUGUUCUUGAUAAAGAAUAAUCCUCCAAAAUCAUCUUCUGAACUUUGUCGAGAGGAUGCUGAAAUUAUGAGAGGCCGACAGGUCCUUGUUGACUGGGUUUGGAACUACUUCGCAAGCGAGCGCUCUGAUAGAUUUACCACACCUCGUGUCACUGUCAGUAAUAAAACCCCACUGUAUUUCCAACAUCAAGGCCAUUCAAGGACAAUAGUUGGGAUUCAAAAGAAAAAUGGUUAUCGCGGAUCUCAUGACCAAUAUACCCUUUUGAUUUUAGAUCCUGGCCAUAGAACAGCAGAUCUUGAAAGGACUCUCAGAAGCAAAAAAGGAUGGCAGAGCCUGGUGAAAAGAGGCGUCCACACCCUCAGGAAGCCACAGUAUCAGGUGUGUUAUGUGGAUUCUGGAAUUGCUAAUUCAGAAGAAAUGGAGCAACUCAAGACUAUUGACAGUAUACUGGUCAGGUUUUAAAUUACUGAGCUCUCUUCCCAGUUUGGGAAACAAGGACAAUGGACAUCUUAUACAUUUUCGAGCUCUCCAAUUGGUUGUGCAAUGUAUGCUGCCGAGAAGGCCUCUGAAGCAGGCUGACUGUUUGCCGACUGCAUCUGCCAGUUGAAGGUGGUCGCAUCUGCAUCUGUGCUGUAGAGUAAAUCAAACAACAGUUGGGUGAUGUUGUCUUCAGUGGGCAACUUAUGAGAGACCGUCAGAGUCACUUGUGUUGAAGUGGAGAAUCAAGCCUUUACACAUAUAUAAUAUGCUGCUUAAUGAACAUUAUUACACUUGGAUCCGAAAUGGUUAGGCUUUUGCGUUGCAUGUGAUGCUGCGCACUGAGCUCCGCUGACUAGAAUAUCAACAACUUGAGGACUGUGUUGUGCAUGAGUCGGAAUCUGGAAAUGGUUGAAGCUGCUUUCAGUGGCAGGACCAUGUUCCUUUUUUUU